rnacentral:rRNA from 1 species
GACGAACGCUGGCGGCGUGCUUAACACAUGCAAGUCGAGCGGUAAGGCCCUUUCGGGGGUACGACGAGCGGCGAACGGGUGAGUAACACGUGGGUGACCUGCCCUCAGCUCUGGGAUAAGCCUGGGAAACCGGGUCUAAUACCGGAUAUGACUCCAUGACGCAUGUUGUGGGGUGGAAAGCCUUGUGCGGCUGAGGAUGGGCCCGCGGCCUAUCAGCUUGUUGGUGGGGUGAGGCCUACCAAGGCGACGACGGGUAGCCGGCCUGAGAGGGCGACCGGCC